ACACUGCGCAUUAAACAUUCAGAAUGUGUCCGCGCGCUACGAUAAAUAUUAUUUGAAAACAUUUUCUGGAAUUAUUAUAUUGAAUCCGUCGCUUGAAUAUUAUAGACUACCACCACUAUAUAGAUUGUGUGCAGACGUGACAAAAUGUGGUGUUUAUAAUCGAUUUCACUGGACAAUGCUGAGUGCAGUAUUUGUGUGAUUACUACCACGGCGACCCAAACGUGCGUUUUUUGUUUUCGUCUUAAGAACGUAUGGCGUAAAAAAUUUGCAUUUAGCAAACCAAUUGUGUACUGUUGGUUAUAAUGUUAAAAACUAGACUAACCUAUUAUCAAACUUAAAAGGAAAAACAUCAUUGUCUAUGUAUACACUUUGGAUUUUUUCGAAAUUUUAAUUUU